rnacentral:miRNA from 1 species
GGAUGAGGAGGAGGAAAAGAAGAAGAAGAAGAAGAAGAAGAAGAAGAAGAAGAAGAAGAAGAACUUCUUCUUCUUCUUCUUCUUCUUCUUCUUCUUCUUCUUUUUCCUCUCUCUCU